GACGAACGCUGGCGGCGUGCUUAACACAUGCAAGUCGAGCGGUAAGGCCCUUUCGGGGGUACACGAGCGGCGAACGGGUGAGUAACACGUGGGUGACCUGCCCUCAGCUCUGGGAUAAGCCUGGGAAACCGGGUCUAAUACUGGAUAUGACUCCAUGACGCAUGUUGUGGGGUGGAAAGCCUUGUGCGGCUGAGGAUGGGCCCGCGGCCUAUCAGCUUGUUGGUGGGGUGAGGCCUACCAAGGCGACGACGGGUAGCCGGCCUGAGAGGGCGACCGGCCACACUGGGACUGAGACACGGCCCAGACUCCUACGGGAGGCAGCAGUGGGGAAUCUUGCGCAAUGGGCGAAAGCCUGACGCAGCGACGCCGCGUGAGGGAUGACGGCCUGGUG
rnacentral:rRNA from 1 species